UAGAACCCAAGCACUCCAAUCUCUGGCUUGACUGCCUUUCACCUGGGAGCAUUCCGGGGCCUGGGCAGGCACCAGGGUCCCUCUGGGCCGCCCCCACCCUACCUCUUGAGAAGUGAGGGGGAGAAGAAGGAGCUGCUGCUGCCGGGGACAGCUGGGGCUGACCAGGAGACGCCCUCCAUCAUCCUGUCCGGCACACCCUGGGCUUCGCUCCGGAGUCCCCGUGAUGACACAAAGGCCACUCCCUGUCCUGUUUGUCUUUCUGGCCAAACAAGGCUAGGCAGAAAGUGAGGCAAGUAUGGACUUUUCCACCGGGGUCCGGAAGUUCUGUAAAUUUAGAGGCAUAGGCUUCAGCCUUCUGUUCUGAAAAAGCCCCUCUGGUGGGCGCCUCCCUGCCAUCCCAGGUCCAAGGUCUGGAGUCCUCUGGGGAAACCCUAUCCUUCUCCAAACCCCCGUGAGCUGCCUCCUUUAUGGCCAGAAGUGUUGGGUACAAGAUGCCCCAGCGAAAAGGGAUGGAGGCUGGAUCUGGAGGAGAGAAGCUGGUUCUAGAAACCUCCAUUCCCCUGUGAAGUGUGACCCCAUUCCCUGGGCUUGGCUGACUUGUUAUCCCAUCCAACCCUGUAAAUCAGACAUUUCAGCCAUGUUCCUACCUCCUCUGUCUUCCUCACUUGCCACAGUGAGUUGGUGGCAAGACCCAGCCUUUCCCCCUUCCUGGCUACCUCCCCAGCUUGCCCCAGACUCCCCUCUCCCCACUGUUGCUCAUCUACUACCCUGGCCAGGGUCCUCUUGCCUCUCACCAGCUUCUUCUCUGGGUCUCUUGCUCUGCCUCCAGCUAGCUCCCCUCCCACCCACCAUCCAUGAGCAUCACAGCACAAAUGUGACCAUGUCACUCUUCAGCUCAAAUCCCUUUCAUGAAUUCCCAUUGCUCCUGGGGAAAAGCUCCCUCCCUGCUGGCAGGCUGGGCCCUUCCUGAUCUAAUGAGAGAUGAAGUGUUCUUUGAAAAAGAAAAAAAAAAAAAA